rnacentral:rRNA from 1 species
CCUACGGGAGGCAGCAGUGAGGAAUAUUGGUCAAUGGACGAGAGUCUGAACCAGCCAAGUAGCGUGAAGGAUGACUGCCCUAUGGGUUGUAAACUUCUUUUAUAUGGGAAUAAAAUGUUCCACGUGUGGGAUUUUGUAUGUACCAUAUGACUAAGGAUCGGCUAACUCCGUGCCAGCAGCCGCGGUACUACGGAGGAUCCGAGCGUUAUCCGGAUUGAUUGGGUUUAAAGGGCGCGUAGGUGGAUUGUUAAGUCAGUUGUGAAAGUUUGCGGCUCAACCGUAAAAUUGCAGUUGAUACUGGCAGUCUUGAGUACAGUAGAGGUGGGCGGAAUUCGUGGUGUAGCGGUGAAAUGCUUAGAUAUCACGAAGAACUCCGAUUGCGAUGGCAGCUCACUGGACUGCAACUGACACUGAGGCUCGAAAGUGUGGGUAUCAAACAGGAUUAGAUACCCUUGUAGUC